rnacentral:rRNA from 1 species
CAGUAGCCGCGGUAAAACCGAGGGUGCGAGCGUUAAUCGGAAUUACUGGGCGUAAAGCGUACGCAGGCGGUCUGUUAAGUCAGAUGUGAAAUCCCCGGGCUUAACCCGGGAACUGCAUUUGAAACUGGCAGGCUAGAGUCUCGUAGAGGGGGGUAGAAUUCCAGGUGUAGCGGUGAAAUGCGUAGAGAUCUGGAGGAAUACCGGUGGCGAAGGCGGCCCCCUGGACGAAGACUGACGCUCAGGUACGAAAGCGUGGGGAGCAAACAGGAUUAGAUACCCCUGUAGUCCCUGUCUCUUAUAC